UACAGAGGUGGCGAGCGUUGUUCGGAUUUACUGGGCGUAAAGGGUGCGUAGGUGGUUUCGUGUGUCGGGUGUGAAAUCCCACUGCUCAACGGUGGAAUGGCGCUCGAAACUGCGAAGCUAGAGUGCAGGAGAGGAGAGCGGAAUUCUUGGUGUAGCGGUGAAAUGCGUUGAUAUCAAGAAGAACACCGGCGGCGAAGGCGGCUCUCUAGAAUGCAACUGACACUGAGGCACGAAAGCUGGGGGAGCAAACAGG
rnacentral:rRNA from 1 species